rnacentral:rRNA from 1 species
GACGAACGCUGGCGGCGUGCUUAACACAUGCAAGUCGAACGAAGAGCGAUGGAAGCUUGCUUCUAUCAAUCUUAGUGGCGAACGGGUGAGUAACGCGUAAUCAACCUGCCCUUCAGAGGGGGACAACAGUUGGAAACGACUGCUAAUACCGCAUACGAUCUAAUCUCGGCAUCGAGGAUAGAUGAAAGGUGGCCUCUAUUUAUAAGCUAUCACUGAGGGAGGGGAUUGCGUCUGAUUAGCUAGUUGGAGGGGUAACGGCCCACCAAGGCGAUGAUCAGUAGCCGGUCUGAGAGGAUGAACGGCCACAUUGGGACUGAGACACGGCCCAGACUCCUACGGGAGGCAGCAGUGGGGAAUCUUCCGCAAUGGACGAAAGUCUGACGGAGCAACGCCGCGUGAGUGAUGACGGCCUUCGGGUUGUAAAGCUCUGUUAAUCGGGACGAAAGGCCUUCUUGCGAAUAGUUAGAAGGAUGACG